rnacentral:rRNA from 1 species
GGGGAAUAUUGGACAAUGGGCGAAAGCCUGAUCCAGCCAUGCCGCGUGUGUGAAGAAGGUCUUCGGAUUGUAAAGCACUUUAAGUUGGUAGGAAGGGCAGUAAGUUAAUACCUUGCUGUUCUGACGUUACCAACAGAAUAAGCACCGGCUAACUUCGUGCCAGCAGCCGCGGUAAUACGAAGGGUGCAAGCGUUAAUCGGAAUUACUGGGCGUAAAGCGCGCGUAGGUGGUUUGGUAAGAUGGAUGUGAAAUCCCCGGGCUCAACCUGGGAAGUGCGAGAAUAGAGUACUGGAGGGGUGGGAGGAACUACAGGUGUAGAGGUGAAAUUCGUAGAUAGUGGUAGGAAUGCCGAUAGAGAAGUCAGCUCACUGGACAGAUACUGACGCUGAAGCGCGACAGCAUGGGGAGCGAACA